CUGGAUGUUGCAGGUUUUUUAUUGCACAAAUGAGCAACAGUGCAAUGGUUAAGUGCAUUGUGUCCAUGACAGAAACAACCACAUGCUACUUACACAAUUUCAGCUCUUUGCAGGAACAGACAGCAGGCACAGACAGCAUGCUAAUGCAAAGCUAGCAAAGAACCCAGAGUGACAAAAAAGCUGAGUGAAUGCCGACCCCAGCCCAGCAGCCAGACCCUGAACUUCAACAGCUUGAAAAUGUCUGACUCUGCUGAACCUGACCUAUGUGAGAGUUUGCUGUCCUUGAGUGGCAAUUCCUGGCCGAAGAGGAGCCAUCCCGGAGCCAGGGGACUUGCCCUCUGCUCCCUCCUCCUGUUCCUGCUUUGAUUUCCAAUAUGUCCUCGCAUCACCACAGAUGGAUGCAGAGGAAACAUUUCCUCGGCCGACAGUGCUAGCGAGGCCCCAGGGCCCCAGAAGUUGAUAGGGGGCAGAAAUUGGAGAAUAAUGUAAUAGAAUAUUUGA